UCUUUAUAUAGACAAUUUUGCCUUUAUUAGGAGUUAAUCAAGUAAAAUCUUUAUAUAUUUAGUUGGGGUGACACGAAGUCAUAAACACUUCUUUAAAAACAAAAAUCUAAGGAUACAUGACCCGGCUAGCCGAUCAAAAAAUUAAGU
rnacentral:rRNA from 1 species